rnacentral:rRNA from 1 species
UUCCUCCUACGGGGGGCAGCAGUCGGGAAUAUUGCGCAAUGGAGGAAACUCUGACGCAGUGACGCCGCGUAUAGGAAGAAGGUUUUCGGAUUGUAAACUAUUGUCGUGAGGGAAGAAAUUGACAGUACCUCAGGAGGAAGCUCCGGCUAACUAUGUGCCAGCAGCCGCGGUAAUACAUAGGGAGCAAGCGUUAUCCGGAUUUAUUGGGUUUAAAGGGUGCGUAGGCGGAAUGCCAAGUCAGCGGUAAAAUCGCGGGGCUCAACCUCGCUCCGCCGUUGAAACUGGCGUUCUUGAGUGGGCGGGAA